AACGAACGCUGGCGGCAGGCUUAACACAUGCAAGUCGAACGCAUCCUUCGGGGUGAGUGGCAGACGGGUGAGUAACGCGUGGGAACGUGCCCUUCAGUUCGGAAUAACCCAGGGAAACUUGGGCUAAUACCGGAUACGUGCGAGAGCAGAAAGAUUUAUCGCUGAAGGAUCGGCCCGCGUCUGAUUAGCUAGUUGGUGAGGUAAUGGCUCACCAAGGCGACGAUCAGUAGCUGGUCUGAGAGGAUGAUCAGCCACAUUGGGACUGAGACACGGCCCAAACUCCUACGGGAGGCAGCAGUGGGGAAUAUUGGACAAUGGGCGCAAGCCUGAUCCAGCCAUGCCGCGUGAGUGAUGAAGGCCUUAGGGUUGUAAAGCUCUUUCAGUGGGGACGAUAAUGACGGUACCCGCAGAAGAAGCCCCGGCUAACUUCGUGCCAGCAGCCGCGGUAAUACGAAGGGGGCUAGCGUUGUUCGGAAUCACUGGGCGUAAAGGGCGCGUAGGCGGCUUUGUAAGUCGGGGGUGAAAGCCUGUGGCUCAACCACAGAAUUGCCUUCGAUACUGCAUGGCUUGAGACCGGAAGAGGUUAGUGGAACUGCGAGUGUAGAGGUGAAAUUCGUAGAUAUUCGCAAGAACACCAGUGGCGAAGGCGGCUGACUGGUCCGGUUCUGACGCUGAGGCGCGAAAGCGUGGGGAGCAAACAGGAUUAGAUACCCUGGUAGUCCACGCCGUAAACGAUGAAUGCCAGCCGUUGGCGAGCUUGCUCGUCAGUGGCGCAGCUAACGCUUAA
rnacentral:rRNA from 1 species